rnacentral:lncRNA from 1 species
CUCAAACGGCCCCUGGCCAGUGCCUCUGCGAACCUGUUCGUUGCGCUGCGGAAGCGUGGUGGGGCCCACUGCCUUGCUUCACGGGUACUCCUCCUACCUGACGCGUGCGCAGAGGACGGAGAAGCGCUCAUGGCCCUGGAACUCACCGCCCUGGUCAACCAGAAGUAAAGCAGCGCGUUCGCCCAUCGUGUGCCGUGGCCAUUGGAGAGAGAUGGUGAGCGCAGGAAACCAACAGGGGAGAUCCGCCGCCGCACUCGGGGAGAGAGAAAGGGGGGAGUUCAUCAGAUCGUGUGGAGCGAAGGUCGGGGCGCUAGGGCCUGCCAGAGAGGUUCGCUGAUGAGCGUAGAAGUUCAUCGGGGUAUUGGGUUUGUUUCCUAUGGAGUGCAUCGUCGCGCGACGGGAUACUCCCCGGGGCAGCCGCAAUUUCUCGCGGGAUCCAGAACCAGCUGGGACCACGCCGCUCGGGACCAACCCGUUUUCCCAUCGCCAUUCGUCGGUAUGGUGCUUACUAUCUAGUUUGUCAUACUCUUCUCUCUCUAUUUCUCGGGACCAUGCACGAUUUAGAUCACUGCGGCGGGGUUUGGGGAAGAACCGCGGCGAGCUUGUCGCCGUGUGGCGUGCCGCGCCACCGCGAUGCUGUGCCAGGGAAGAAGAUGAAUGCGUGGCCGUGGAUCUCGCGAUGGAUGGUGUGAAUUACAGGAAAGGGUGGAAGAAGCCGAGACCGUAGGAUGGUAAACGAAUGGAUUAGAUCAGAUUCCGCGUACCCCUUCACACCGCGGGAUCCAGAUGGUUGGAUCGUAAACGUGUGGUCCCGAUCUGAGCGGGAUUUCAUAAAGCGCGUACCUAAUCCGGGCCGAUGGACAGAGAUCGGACGGCCUGGAUUCAUCCAUACCCCUUCGACCUGGCCAUCUUUCAAAAGAACCCGUGCAUAUUUAGAAAUUCAACCCGCCGUCCACCGUGGGUAGAUCUGAGUCUAGGAAAUCUUAUAGAUUAAACCCUGCCUUCUCUGAUAUUUGAGGCGCGGUACAGGGAAAUUGAAAAUCAGAUAAGUUGAUUUAUAAAAUGAAUUUCUUAUAUAAAAACAAUUCUAGAACUUGUUUAAUUCAAAUAAAAUUCAUAUGAAGUCCAAAUCAAUCCAUUAAAAUUCAAAUAAAAUUCUAGAACUUGUUUAUCAAUUAAUGCCACUAUUUUGACAUGAAAGUCACAUUAAAUUUAUAUCCUAUUUAAUCUUUUACAAAACAACUAGAAUCUUUAGAAAUUCAUAACUUAAAAUCUAUAACUCCGAUUUGAUCCAUUCAAGUUACGUUAGUCUCAUACAAGUAUUUACUACGCAGUAACAACAUUUAAUAUACCAUGUCUCAUUCUUUUCUAAUUAGAUCUUUAUUUAAUUUAUGUUGGUUAGUCUCGUUAAACUGCUUAUCAUUUUAAUCUACUAGAAUAUGAUCUAUGGUCAAUUCAUAACUUAGACUAAAGUUGAGAUAAUUACUUAAUAACCUCUUAUAUAAUUUAUAUUAACCAAUUUAUAAUAUAGAUUGAUAUUUUAACCACAUAGAUCUUUUAUAAAUCAUAAUUCCAUGACCAUAACCCCGAUUUUAGUGGUUCUCGAUUCCACGAUCUCGUAGCUUCGCAUAGAUCAUUAUUAUUUAAUUUGUUCUCAUGUUUGGUGUGAUGUUAAUCUUGUCUAUACCAUGUUUGUUUGUAUUGCUACGACUAGCAGUGAGGUCACGAGGAUCUGAAGAAUCACCCUAGUACCAGGAAUCUCAAGUGCGAGGCAAGUUGUGCCCUUGACCACUUUUAUACCCCAAUAAUGUUCUUUAAUGUCAUUUAUUCAUGCAUAGGUUUAAUUUUGAUGGGAUCCAAU